rnacentral:lncRNA from 9 species
AAUGGUGUUUGAAAAGCUCAUAACUUAAAAGGUAAAAAAAUAUUCAUUCUUUAUUCCCCCACUUCCCUUGAGCAAAGACUCACAUCUGAUCUAUCAACAUGGCUUGCAAUUAAGCCAGUGCCAUACCUGGACGAUGAGAGGUGCUGAAUAAUUACAAAUGGAUAAUGAAUGAGUAAUAAAAGAAAACACACAUGUGUGUUCUGUGUCCCUGGCACUGAUCUAAGCCCUUGAAAAACUCAUCUAUUCACAUCUACCCUUUUACAGAUGAAUAAACCUCAGGCGCAAAGAGGUGAAACAUCCAGCCCAGAGUGACAUAGUUAAUGACUGCGUUCCAGCAGCCAUGCUCGGAAGCACGUUGCCCCUGCUACUGUUGGGACCCAGGCACGCAAAAAUGUGACAUGGACAAAAUCAACAUGAAUAGCCAAGACAACAUUUUGUGGAAUAACUUUUUGAUAUUACAUAGUAAUUAUGAUUAACAUUAAAGGACUGGAGUGUCAUGCAUA